GAUGAACGCUGGCGGCGUGCUUAACACAUGCAAGUCGAACGGUGAAGGCGGAGCUUGCUCUGCUGGAUCAGUGGCGAACGGGUGAGUAACACGUGAGCAAUCUGCCCCUGACUCUGGGAUAAGCGCUGGAAACGGCGUCUAAUACUGGAUACGAGCUGCGAAGGCAUCUUCAGCAGCUGGAAAGAAUUUCGGUCAGGGAUGAGCUCGCGGCCUAUCAGCUUGUUGGUGAGGUAAUGGCUCACCAAGGCGUCGACGGGUAGCCGGCCUGGGAGGGUGACCGGCCACACUGGGACUGAGACACGGCCCAGACUCCUACGGGAGGCAGCAGUGGGGGAUAUUGCACAAUGGGCGAAAGCCUGAUGCAGCAACGCCGCGUGAGGGACGACGGCCUUCGGGUUGUAAACCUCUUUUAGCAGGGAAGAAGCGAAAGUGACGGUACCUGCAGAAAAAGCGCCGGCUAACUACGUG
rnacentral:rRNA from 1 species